CUAGAUGGUACUCCUGUGCUUGAAACCUUGAAAUUGCUCUCCUGCGUUGGAAUUUAUAGGCUUGACCUAUCUUUGAAUUCUCAUUUGAAGGAGUUAGUGAUACAUGGAGUUGUUUUCUGAUGAAGAGGAUGAUACUGUGCUUGAAAUUUCAGGUCCUCACCUUGAGAUUUUGGAAAUUUUUGGUUUUGGUGUAAGAAGAAGUGUAAAUUGAUGAAUAUGUUAUCUUUGAGCAGGACUAUCUUGGAUUUUCAAGGAAAAAAAGGUACUCAUGAAACUUGGAAAGAUUUCCUAGGCAAGAGUCAAAAUAUUGUCAAGGAGUGUCUGGAGAAUGUCUCUUUAAUUUAUUUCGAUUAGAAAAAAAAAAAAUUUCCAAAAUCUCA
rnacentral:misc_RNA from 1 species